GAAACCCUCCUCUUCCUUAGGUGUCUCCGCCCAAAGAAAGACUGCAGCCAAUGAGAACCCGCCUACCGCCCAGUCUGCAACUUGGCUGCUGCCAGGUGGGCAGGUCCGGAGGACAAGUUGCACCUCGACUGGUGGCUUAGGGUAAGGAGUCCGGGGGAUCCGCCAGCUCCCGGGCCCUGAAGGAAGCGAUCAAAAUGGAUGCGGAGUGCUGAAUACAAGGUGUAACAUACAGUUAAGCACUAUACAACCCACCAAGUUGUGCUUGUAUUUCCUCCUCUCCACAAGCUGCUGAGCAGGAUGUUAUUGACAUCUGUGUUCUGUAGAUGAAGAAAGUGUUACACAAAUUUCUGUAAGGAACAAAAGCGGGGUGCUAAGAUACAGAUGGGGGUGAAUACAUUUGGUCAU